CCCCUAGAUGUUCUGGGCCGCACGCGCGCUACACUGAACAGUUCAACAAGUCUUAACCUUGGCCGAUAGGUCUGGGUAAUCUUUGAACGCUGUUCGUGAUUGGGAUAGACCUUUGCAAUUAUGGGUCUUCAACGAGGAAUUCCUAGUAAACGCAAGUCAUCAGCUUGCAUUGAUUACGUCCCUGCCCUUUGUACACACCGCCCGUCGCACCUACCGAUUGAAUGGUCCGGUGAAAUCUCGGGACGGCGGCUUGGUCGCUUGCGUCCGACUGCUGAAACUUGAUUAAACCAUACCAUUUAGAGGAAGGUGAAGUCGUANCA
rnacentral:rRNA from 1 species